GCUGGGUGUGGUGGUGCAUGCCUGUAGUCCCAGCUACUUGGGAGGCUGAUGCAGGAGAAUUGCUUGAACCUGGGAGAUAGAGGUUGCAGUGAGCUGAGAUUGUGCCACUGCACUCCAGCCUGGGUGACAGAGCAAGACCCUGUCUCAA
rnacentral:sRNA from 1 species